AGCUCCAAUAGCGUAUAUUAAAGUUGUUGCAGUUAAAAAGCUCGUAGUUGGAUCUCGGGUUUAGGCUUGUGGUUCUGCUCAUGCAGCUACUGCUCGUCCUGACCUACCUGCCGGUUUUCCCUUGGUGCCCUUAACUGGGUGUCUCGGGUGGCCGGAACGUUUACUUUGAAAAAAUUAGAGUGUUCAAAGCAGGCAGUUCGCCUGAAUAAUGGUGCAUGGAAUAAUGGAAAAGGAUCUCGGUUCUAUUUUGUUGGUUUCCGGAACUUGAGAUAAUGAUUAAGAGGGACAGACGGGGGCAUUCGUAUUACGGUGUUAGAGGUGAAAUUCUUGGAUCGCCGUAAGACGAACUACUGCGAAAGCAUUUGCCAAGAAUGUUUUCA
rnacentral:rRNA from 1 species